AGUCGAACGAACCUCAGCCGGGUAGCAAUACUUGGCUGGGGGAAGUGGCGAAAGGGGCAGUAAUGCGUGGGUAACCUACCUCGGGGACCGGGAUAGCCUUUCUAACGAAAGGGUAAUACCGGGCGAUGUGGUCGAGGGGCAUCUCUUGGCCAUGAGAUGUAUUUCGCCUCGGGAGGGGCUCACGUGCUAUUAGCUAGUUGGUGAGGUAACGGCUCACCAAGGCAAAGAUGGCUAGCGGGUGUGAGAGCACGACCCGCGCCACUGGCACUGAGACACUGGCCAGACACCUACGGGUGGCUGCAGUCGAGGAUCUUUGGCAAUGGGCGCAAGCCUGACCAAGCGACGCCGCGUGUGCGAUGAAGGCCUUCGGGUUGUAAAGCACUGUCGAGGGGGAGGAAGCCGAAAGGUUGACCUAUCCCUGGAGGAAGGACGGGCUAAGUUCGUGCCAGCAGCCGCGGUAAGACGAACCGUCCUAACGUUGUUCGGAAUCACUGGGCUUAAGGGCGCGUAGGCGGGUGAUCAAGUCAGGGGUGAAAUCUUUCGGCUUAACCGGAAAACAGCCCCUGAUACUGGUUGUCUUGAGGGAGGUAGGGGUAUGUGGAACUUCUGGUGGAGCGGUGAAAUGCGUUGAUAUCAGAAGGAACGCCGGU
rnacentral:rRNA from 1 species